rnacentral:tRNA from 1 species
GCCGAGGUGGCAGAGGGGCUAUGCAACCGGCUGCAGACCGGUGCACGGGAGUUCAAAUCUCCCCCUCGGCUCCA